CCAAGCCACAGGAGCCACAGUUUAUUUUCCCCCUGUCUCCCUCUCGUUUGGUCGUUGACAGGAGCCACAGGAUGACGAAUAGCUAAGCUCUUCGUCAUCCUCUCGCGCUUCAGCAAUGUUACUCGCCGGACAUAACUCCUCCGACCUGUCCAAGUUGACUCAACUCCAUCAAGGCCCGACCUGCAACGCGUGUUUGCCUUGUAGCUUCCCAUAUCCUGGUGUCCCAAGUUCGAGUUGAAACCAGAUAGGAAUUUUUGGGGGCCGUUGAAUGAUAGUGUUCCUCAGUUCUAGUUGAAGCUUAGCGUGGCCAUGGUCAACGAGGCAGCAGCCUAUGGCGCAUCUCUGCUUAAUUUGCAGUUCUUGGUAAAUGCAAACUCAGUUUAUGGUUGCUGGAGCGACUGUUGGUCAGUUACCUUAUUUAGAGAUUUCUUCAUGUGUGAUCAGGGGCGAAGCUAGAGCUCAGUCGACCCUGGUGCACCACUCAACAUAUAUGUUCUCAUAUGGUUUGGAUAAAUUUUAUAAUUUUCACCAAAUUUCAUUCCAAUUUAGACUUUUUGAAAAAAAUAGUCAAAUUCAGAAUUUUUGCCUAAUUUUAUUCAAAAUUCAAAUUUUCUAGCAGAAUUUUUUUCAAUAACCGUUGAUAGUUGACCUUGUCGGCUGUACUGUCCAGGCUUAGUGUUUUCAUUAAAUGAUACCAUUAACACUAUUCAAAUAUUGAGUACCCGUGUUAUAGAAUCAAGAGAAAGAAACAUAAAAAUUCAAUUCAAUUAAGCAUCAGAAGCUUACUUGAUAUGGUAUUUAUAUAUUUGCAUAUAAAUUCUCAAGCCUCAUGUCUGAGUCCUUUACUAUUUAGUGUCCUUGCGUAUUUUUUUUCCUUCUAAUUGCAAGUCCCCAAUUGAGACUUGAGAAGAAACAUAAUGCAAAAGCUUCUUCAAAUCUUCCAUACAUAGAAAACUAGAAAUAGCUCUGAGCUUCCUUCAACAAAACUUCUUGCGUACAAGCUGAAUGAAGCAAAAUAAAUUUAAUAGGAUCUGGUUUUAUGCCAUAACACCCACAACUUCGGUGACCACACGCACGCUUGGCUGGCGCUGAGCUGCCGCACCGCGCAAAUUCCGGUAGGUAGCUGCCGCGCUGUUCAACUGAGUGCACAUGAUGCGCGCCAGCUCGUCACCGUCUCGCUCUCCCUCCGUCUAUAAAUGCACACCCGCCCCCCUUUCCUCCCCCCCCCCCCCACUCAAAAUCCACCACCGCCCAAUUUCUAUCUCACUGUCGUCGCCUCCUUGUCCGUCAUUGUCCUGCUAGCCGGCCACGACGAGGGUGAAGAAGGCUCACCGCCCGAAGCUGCCGUCACCUCUGGGUCGACUCGUUGUGGAGCUCAGAGUGGAGGACCCCAAUGCCAAGCCUUUCCUUGCCACCGACUUCGCUGUCAAUUCCGCCACUACAUCGCUCCUUCUGGCCAAACAAACACAGGGUGAGUUUCCCCUCUCCCUCCCAUGUCCUUUGCAUGCAUUGUUUUUCCUUCGGCUCGACGCUAGAACACCUCUCCGCAGUGUCCGAGAGCCGCCAUGCCUCAACCAAAUACCGCUGUUCGGGCCAUGCCAGGCCCUUGGCCCUUGAACCCUAUGUCUGGACUUCACACGUCGCGUUGCACCUAUAGCAGUAACCAACCGAGUCCCCCUCUCUUUCCUCUCCUCCGUUGACAACCGAGCUGCCGCCACCAUUGCCAUCUCCGGCGAUCGACUAGACCUUCCCCGAUUGCCACUUGCUGUCAUUGACCCCCAAAACGGGUUUGCGAGCCCACACAGAUCCCCGGUCGUAGUUCCCUUGCUAGGCUACCUCCUCUAAGCCAGUUUUGGCAAGCUCUACGGCGAGGCACUACCGUGAACAGCUCUUCAGUCACUGUCGCUACUCUGCCCCAUCCUGGCGAGCCCACGCACGUGCACGUUGCGCACACGCGUGCUGCCCAGUCCUCCCAGUCGCGUCCGCGCGGCCCAAUAGAGCAGGCAACGGUUCAGUCCAUUAGAUGGGUCGGCCUGUUGAUGCAACCCACCCGAGGUUGCAAGCUGGCCUUGCCCAAGCUCACGACGGUCGCGGGCCAUAUCCUAAAUUAUGGGCCGACCUACCUACUGUACAGGCCCAAGUCCAGCUCGAACCCAGGCCCAAGUCCAGCUCGAACCCACACUGUGCAGUGGACCCCGCCAGUAUACUGUUCAAUGGGCCCCACAAUACUGUUCAGUGGGUCCCACCUAUGGGCCCCAUCCAUGAAUAGUUCCAUAUUUCUUUUUCUCAAUUUAAUUCUAGAUCAAAUGUUUCGGAGUCAUAACUUCUCCGUUCUGACUCAGAUUCUGGUGAUUAUUUCACCUAAAUUCAUCUAAAUUUGAGAUCUAUCUUUCUAUCAUAGUGUGAUAUUCAUUAGAGCUCAUUUGGUAUUCUAUUUGGUGUUAUUUUAUUAUUAUCUCCUAUAUGCCAUCGUUAAUCGUAAUCGCGUUUGCAAAACCAGAGGAUUUCGCGGAGAACCCGGAGGACCCCGACUUCAACCAAGGUUUAGAAGCAGACUUUGGAGAAGGCAAGUUCUAUCUCCUUGAUCAUUCUGGGUCUAUGUUUUGCAAUAAUCUAAUUGAUCAACUUAAAACUUGACUUAUUGCCGCAUGUGUUAUGUAUUGCGUUAUUUCUACUGCUUGUAGUAAUUAAAUCCUAUCAAACAAUUGUCAUGCCUUAAAUGUCUUAUCUAGAAUACAUAUCUCUCUAGGAUUGACCUUUCGUUAUCUAUAUUAACGUCGGGCGACACCAUGAUAUCUAGCAUUCUUAUGAUGGAAUGCACCUUUUCGGAGAUGUCGCUAGUGAAAUACGUCUCUUCGGAGCUAUCGCUUCACUGUUUAAUCAAUUCAACCCAUAUGCUAUGAAUCUUAAUAUAGUGUGGGAUAUGGCAAGUGGUGUGUAAAAUGGGUGAAAACUGUUUUGGCGGGGGUAAGUAGAGUAGUCCUCCGGUCGAAGAUGCUCUUGGGGGUUUGAGCUACCUUUGUGGUAUUCAUUGCCAACUGAAGAUGCCUGCCACGACCGUUAAAUACCGAAUCAUUGUGCUGUUAUGCUAAGAAAUCCCAGUGCAACCAUGCGUCCUAAAUGGGCAGGACUUGAUCUCACAUCCCGUUAGUUGAGCUCAUUACCCACCCUAGAGGUAGGGGUACAACGGGAACUCAAGAAAAUACUCGUUACUGUGCGUAGUACGAGAGCUGGCUGGUGACAUUGCUGGCCACCAAGCCAUGAUUAAUCAAGUGCUCCAGACCCCUGAUGUUUUCCUGUGGGUGGAUCGUGUAGCAACAUGCUUGAUGAGUACGAGAACUUGGUAUGAUUCGCUCAUCCGUUUGCAAUGGUUGGAGGCUGAGCAUAUCGUAUGUGUAUAAUGUACAACCUCUGUAGAGUGUAAAUCUAUUCAAAUAGCCGUGUUCACGAUCAUAGACAUGCAAAGCAAUGGCCACACAUUGGUUAGACUCAGGGGCAUGUGUGUCUUUGACGAGUGAGUGUGUGGAGUAGAUGUUCGUGUGAUGAAGUUGUUGGCUCAAUCUGCCAAGAUCAAUGUAGUACUAGAGGCAUACUAGACACAAUGAUAGGGACUACAGAGUGAGGUGUAGCCCCUCCUAGGACCGAAGAACCCCCAGAUACACCUUGUUACCUUGUUUGAUCCAUUUCGAAGUUAAACAAUAGAGAAUACAACUUAAUAAACUGCAUAAAACUGCUUUAUGUUUCAAACUAAACCAUAAAACCUUGUCAUUCAGAUAUCCUUUAUGCAUCUAUCAACAUCUUGAAAUAGCAUAGGACUUGAUGAGUACCUUUCGUACUCAUUCUUACUAUCAUUUAGAUGAGGAAGCAGAUGCUGACUUAGCUGGAGAUGAAGGCAUGGAUGAGGAGUAGAUUAGUAAUCACGUUUGCACCCUAGCUGCAUGUGACUUUGGGUAGUUGUUCCGCUCUGCUUUUGAUGGCCGUUAGGCUAGGUUUGUAAUAUAUAGUAUGGUUUGAAGACUUUUUGUACUCUAUAACCAUAAUACUUUUAUGUGUGAUACAUGACUAUGAUGUUAUAACUGUUGUACUAUGCGUAUUAGCUACUUAAUUCAGGAACUGAUACAUGAGGCAUAAAAAAUCCUAGGAUCAGGGUCUUACAACCAACAAUUGGUUGUGGCCCCGAUCCGUGCAGCGUCAUAAUAUAAGGGGGAGGGCCGGUGCCCACGAGCACGAGGUUCUUGCGUGGCUCUGUCUAUCCCCAACAUAUCUAAACCAUCCCACGAUCAUUAGGGUGUUGUCAACAGGUCGAAGGCCACCACUGUGACUUCGCUGACCUCCUUCACCGCGCUGGCGUCCAUUGCACCGACCCCUCCGUUAAGCCGGCGAUCAACUACACUGACGUGUACACCUACGUCAAUCCUCUGCACCACAUCAUCUCACCGAUCACUAAUGGCAUUCCCAAGCGCAGGUAUGUUCUCACGCUUUCGCAUUGUAUGUGUUCAUGUGCUAGGGCUACCAAUUUGAUGUUUUGAUUCAAGAAUUAUGCUAACACUGGGAUGCCUUUUUCUGCUCGUGUUCAGAUGCUUGACUCAAUAAAUUUGAAUUAGAUAUAGGCUUUGCUGGUCGCCCUCCUUGAGUUAAUUGAAUAAUCGAUGUCAUUGAAAUAGGCUUUGUUGUGUGGUUAAUAUGUAUGCUUGUAGUUAAUUGGUAGGAAAUUUGCGUACCCAGGCUUUCCAGCUUUUGGGAUGCUUCAUGUAGGAUCCAUUACUCACUAAUUUGGUAAUUAGAGGGGAGUGAAUGAUUGUGGAAGUUAAAAAUAAAAUUUUCAUGAUUAAAAAUUCACUCUAUAUAAAUCCAUCAUGUUUUAAAUCUUAGUAAAAAACCUUUGAAAGAAGCUCCGAUUGACUUGUAAUAUUGGCGGUGGAAAGUAGACAAAAUUUCACAAUUAAUACAAUAAGAAUCAUGUCAAUUAGAUAUCCAGAUCUUAAGAUAUGCUCAUAAAAGCAAAACCGUUUCUGAUGGUGAAAAUAAUCAACAUAUGGAAACCUGGAGAUUAUCAACACAUCAUCUUGAAAAUUUCAUCUUUAUAGCUAGAAGUGUGCACAAGAUGUCUCACGAGAUGCAUCAACGCGGUCCCCAAGCCGCGUUGGUUGGGGUGGGGGUUGGGAGCGGACGUCGGUUGGGUGGGGCGGGCACCGUGGUGGCAUGGCGAUGGCGUGGCGAAAGGCGCCAGCGCCACUACAAAACCCAACACGAAGCGGCUUCUUUACUCCCAACGAAGGCUUCAGCGUGCGGGACCACAUCUCGAGGAUUUUAUCGGACGUCGACAAGGUCAUCCGGAACCUGAGGGCGCUGCUGCCGCAGCUGAAGCGGAAGCUUGAGGCCGCUCCCCAGGGCCUGAACACGGCGCUUGAGAGCUUCAGCGUGCGGGACCACAUCGCGAGGACGUCAGCGGACGUCGAGAAGGUACCCUUCAUCCGGAACCUGUCACAGUUUCUCACCUCCAUCCCAGAUUUGUGCAGCUCUCGCGUCUUCAUCAAGGUCUGACAGAAAGCUCAACAUUCCCUUUUAGUUUCAUUGUCCUGCUUGGGAUUCUCAUCUCAUUUUGUGCCAAAUUGCAUCUUAUUUCGCUAUCGAGUCAGGUUAUGCUUGUAGCGUUCAAUAAAGCAUAGUUUGUGUGGGGUUAUAUCGUGUUUAAUUAGGAUUUCAUAUCUCGUAGUGCCUUCAUCAAUUAAUGAGUAUGACAUGCUGUCCUGGGCUUAUUCUUCAGCCUUGACCGGCUGGUACUUUCUUAAUUCCUGUGGUCAUUUACUGAUUGCAAGUUAAACAUGAGAACUUACUUAGUCAAUUGCCGUAGAAUGUUUACUGCUUGCAUUAUGCACGCGCGAACUUUGCAUACUAGUAUGGCUUAAGGGGCACCGGUUUGUAUCAGAAUAUCUCUUACCGAAUUUGAUCCAUUUUGUCAUCAACUAUCUAGCAAGAGUGAUACCCCUAUUAUGAUGAAGAAGGUGUCGAUGAGGUGCAGAGCUGCAAUAUGCUAACAUAUGCUAUUUAUCUUAACCAUGACCCUUUGUAAUGUCCAUCGUCGUGUGACUCCUCCAGCAGUAUGAUUAUGGUAUGCUCCUAUUUUCCUUUGUCCUGCUGAACUUAGAUACUUGCCAUAGAAUGCUUAAUGUUUUUAUAGUUGUUUUAUGUGUGCACGAACUGUGCAUGCAAAUGUGGAUUAAGGGCCACUGGUUCGUAUCAGAAUCUCUUGCCGAAUUCGUUCCAGUUUGUCAUCAACUAUCUAGCCAGAGCUAGUGCAACCCUAUAGAAAUAUAUAACCAUGGUAUUUGUUUCCCAAAGGCUUAUGAAGAGCUGAAUCUCUAAGCAUGUUUUGAGUUAAAACACGUGUUGAUGGCUACUCCUAGUAUGACGAAGAGGGCGUUGAUGAAGGUGGUGCGCUGCAAUAUGCUAGCAUAUGCUAUUUUUCUUUAACUAGGACACUCAGCAAUGUCCAUCUUCGUUAAACCCUUCCAGCAGUAUGGGUUCUACCAAUCCUAUGAUAAUAGAAAGCAGCCACUCCAAUGACAACAAUAAUUAUGAAACUAGUUCUGUGCUGAAUAGCCUUCCUUGGGUUAAGAAUGACCCAGCCACUAACAGAGAUCCUAGGACUGUACUUGUGAUUGUGGUCAAUAGUCAAAUAAAUAAUUGUUCUACAGACACUUCUAAUGGUGGGCAUGCUUCUGAAGAAAAUAAGAAGAUGAAGGGUAAACUGGGUUUCGUCUCCACCGCUGCGGACAAGUUGCUUACCUUCCAGCUCGUUCUCAUCCCUGUAUCACUUUACGCCCUCAACCAGAUGAGCUUGAGAGAAAGUCAGAAACGUGGGAUGGAUACCGUUUUGGUACUAAGUACCAUAUCAACUCUCCUCCUGGUUCUUAUGGCAUCUUACGCUUCAUGCUUCAAGGAGAGCGAGUUAAUUGUCGAUGUUCCAUUUGAAAUCCUCUCAAUCCUGCUGCUGUUUAACUUUACACUCCUUGACAUAGAAUUAUGUAUAAUACUGCAAAAUUAUGCACAUAUCCCCAUUGGUGUUGUAUUGCCCAUUGGAAUUACAUUCUUCUCAGUGGUGCUCACGUGGGUUAUAUACUUAGAGCGGCCAAAGUUUCUGAAAAAAUGGACAAAGUUUGUGCGGCGGAAAAUCUGAUGUUGUCUGAGAUGCUCCACUUCGAGCCUGCUUGGGCGAUAGACGGGGUAAGCAUCCUGCUUGUUUAUAUUAUUGGUUGUCUCAAAUUCUAUUACAGGUUCGGUGUUUUCAAGGAAAGUGUGGACAAACAUAUAACAACAUAUUAGGAUGGUCCCUUGACUUGGCAAGGUUGUUAGUUGUCUGUUAGCCUUUGUAUCGUUCAAAUUUGAGAAUGGUUGUUCGGUGACUGCAGGCCAAAUCAUGAACCGUGCGAUUCUCUCAUGUGUACCGAGCAUCUGUAAAAUCGAAGUGAGAUGAGGAGACUUCGCUCUACCCAGCAGCUUGAGGAAACUUGGGAGCUUAUAAUAUCAUUUAAGUUCCACUUAUUAUGAUUAUGCAUUCAUGUACUAUGGAGAGCUCUUGUUAGUGCGGAGGCUGAAAAUUAGGGUAUGUUUAGUUAGAGAGAUAUUUUUAGAUGGGAGAUAGCCAUUUAGUUUUUUAGAUGUUUGGUUGGAGGGUAAGCUGGCUGAGAUGUCUAUCUAGAGGAAAUAUUCUUUUCAAUACUGGAUGAGUCCAUCCGCCAAAAACUGCUGGACAGAGUCAUCCAUAUUCUGGAUGAACUUUAUCCAGGUUGAUGUGAUAUAUUUUUAUUGGUCAGAGUAAAUAUAUUUUUUUAUUAGUAUAUUUUAAAUAAUAUUA